rnacentral:rRNA from 1 species
UACGUAGGGGGCAAGCGUUGUUCGGAAUUACUGGGCGUAAAGGGCGCGUAGGCGGCUCAGUAAGUCGGGUGUGAAACCUCCAGGCUCAACCUGGAGACGCCACCUGAUACUGCUGUGGCUAGAGUCCGGUAGGGGAGCGUGGAAUUCCUGGUGUAGCGGUGAAAUGCGCAGAUAUCAGGAGGAACACCAGCGGCGAAGGCGGCGCUCUGGGCCGGAACUGACGCUGAGGAGCGAAAGCGUGGGUAGCAAACAGG